AUUCAGCUAGGUGUGAAUACAGGACUCGAGGUUGAAUCAGUCAUCAUGAUGUCAGCACCUCCGGGCACACCUCCAGAGACAGCUAGCUAUCACGUCAAUAAGGCACCGUGUAAUUCCAUACCAAUCUAAUUGGAUAUCAUCAGCAAGGUUCACUACAUGGGACAAGUCCAGGAUUCAAAACAUCUGGAUGAAAAGAAGGCUUUUUCAUGUUCUUAUCAAGUUCUGGAACUAAACAACUGAUUAACUACUUCUUGACCAGACC